rnacentral:rRNA from 1 species
GGGGGGGUGUCGGGAUAUUGGGCGUAAGAGCUUGUAGGUGGUUUGUCGCGUCUGCUGUGAAAAUCCGAGGCUCAACCUCGGACUUGCAGUGGGUACGGGCAGACUAGAGUGUGGUAGGGGAGACUGGAAUUCCUGGUGUAGCGGUGGAAUGCGCAGAUAUCAGGAGGAACACCGAUGGCGAAGGCAGGUCUCUGGGCCAUUACUGACACUGAGAAGCGAAAGCAUGGGGAGCGAACAGGAUUAGAUACCCUGGUAGUCCAUGCCGUAAACGUUGGGAACUAGGUGUGGGUCUCAUUCCACGAGAUCCGUGCCGCAGCUAACGCAUUAAGUUCCCCGCCUGGGGAGUACAGCCGCAAGGCUAAAACUCGAAGGAAUUGACGGGGGCCCGCACAAGCGGCGGAGCAUGCGGAUUAAUUCGAUGCAACGCGAAGAACCUUACCAAGGCUUGACAUACGCCGGAAUCACUCAGAGAUGGGUGCGUCUUCGGACUGGUGUACAGGUGGUGCAUGGUUGUCGUCUGCUCGUGUCGUGAGAUGUUGGGUUAAGUCCCGCAACGAGCGCAACCCUCGUUCUAUGUUGCCAGCACGUCAUGGUGGGGACUCAUAGGAGACUGCCGGGGUCAACUCGGAGGAAGGUGGGGAUGACGUCAAAUCAUCAUGCCCCUUAUGUCUUGGGCUUCACGCAUGCUACAAUGGCCGGUACAAAGGGCUGCGAUACCGCGAGGUGGAGCGAAUCCCAAAAAGCCGGUCUCAGUUCGGAUUGAGGUCUGCAACUCGACCUCAUGAAGUCGGAGUCGCUAGUAAUCGCAGAUCAGCAACGCUGCGGUGAAUACGUUCCCGGGCCUUGUACACACCGCCCGUCAAGUCAUGAAAGUCGGUAACACCCGAAGCCGGUGGCCUAACCCUUGUGGAGGGAGCCGUCGAAGGUGGGAUCGGUGAUUAGGACUAAGUCGUAACAAGGUAACC